GCUGUUUUACGAACGGACUCCAAAUUAGUGGACAAAACGGUCCGAAAGUGGGAAACAUUUGCGGCGGUGGCUAGAAAUUGAUGGAAACGGUGGGGAAAAACGCACGAACUGGACUCUAACAAGACCCAACCAGCAAUAAGACCUCGACCAGGACACAAACUCAACAAUGUGGACUCUGAAACUGAAAUAUGCAAAGGCUAUGGCGCGGAAGGGUUGUAGGACAGGAAAACGAUAUGGCACUAGACUUAUAGGACGAACUCAAGAACACUCGAAACUAAGGGUACAUGUGAACCUAACGAUAUACCUGAAGCUUUGAUUACCACUUGAUGAGAACAAUGGUGGUCUGAUCUUCCGAAAGGUUGUGGUAACUCUCGAUCUGGUGGACACAAGACACAAAUCGAUCCGGCUUCCGAACAACAUGAUCCGAAACCUUGCAAUUUUUUUAUUUUUUUUGAUAUUUUUCUUUUACUUAGGAGCACUAAAGAAGUAACCACAAAAAAUUUGAGCUUAAACAAGUGAAAGACGUGGCUUGUGGAAUUUUCUGAAGAUUGAGAAAAAUGUGAAAAAAACUUCACAAGGUGAAAACUCAAAGGUCGGAGGCAAAUUUGGAGAUUCCAAAAAUUUCAAACCCACCAAAGGCAUGGAGAGACAGAUCCAAAGUUUUUUUCUAAUCAAUUUUGAUAUAUGGAACGUUGAAAUCGGAGUUCGUAUGCGAAAGUUAUGGCUAUUUUACGAACGGACUCCAAAUUAGUGGACAAAACGGUCUGAAAGUGGGAAACAUUUGCGGCGGUGGCUAGAAAUUGAUGGAAACGGUGGGGAAAAACGCACGAACUGGACUCUAACAAGACCCAACCAGAAAUAAGACCUCGACCAGGACACAAACUCAGCACUGUGGACUCUGAAACUGAAAUAUGCAAAGGCUAUGGCGCGGAAGGGUUGUAGGACAGGAAAACGAUAUGGCACUAGACUUAUGGGACGAACACAAGAACACUCGAAACUAAGGGUAGAUGUGAACCUAACGAUAUACCUGAAGCUUUGAUUACCACUUGAUGAGAACAAUGGUGGUCUGAUCUUCUGAAAGGUUGUGGUAACUCUCGAUCUGGUGGAGACAAGACACAAAUCAAUCCGGCUUCCGAACAACAUGAUCCGAAACCUUGCAAUUUUAUUAUUUUUUUUGAUAUUUUUCUUUUACUUAGGAGCACUAAAGAAGUAACCAUAGAAAAAUUGAGCUUAAACAAGUGAAAGACGUGGCUUGCGGAAUUUUCUGAAGAUUGAGAAAAAUGUGAAAAAAAACUUCACAAGGUGAAAACUCAAAGGUCGGAGGCAAAUAUGGAGAUUCCAAAAUUUUCAAACCCACCAAAGGCAUGGAGAGACAGAUCCAAAGUUUUUUUCUAAUCAAUUUUGAUAUAUGGAACGUUGAAAUCAAAGUUCGGAUGUGAAAGUUAUGGCUGUUUUACGAACGGACUCCAAAUUAGAGGACAAAACGGUCCGAAAGUAGGAAAAAUUUGCGACAAUGGCUAGAAAUUGAUGGAAACGGUGGGAAAAAACAUAUGAACUGGACUCUAACAAGACCUAACCAACAAUAAGGCCUCGACCAGGACACAACUCAACAUUGUGGACUCUGAAACUGAAAUAUGCCAAGGCUAUGGCGCAGAAGGGUAGUAGGAUAGGAAAACGAUAUGGCAGUGGACUUAUGGGACGAACACAAGAACACUCGAAACUAAGGGUAGAUGUCAACCUAAUGGUAUACCUAAAGCUUUGAUUAUCACUUGAUGAGAACAAGGGAGGCCCAAUCUUCUGAAAGGUUCAGGUAACUCUCGAUUUGGUGGUGACGAGACACAAAUCGAUUCGGCUUCCAAACAACAUGAUCCGAAACCCUACAAUUUUUUUUAUUUUUUGAUAUUUUUCUUUUACUUCGCAGCACUAAAGAAGUAAGCACAGAAAAUUUAUGCUUAAACAUGUGAAAGACGUGGCCUGCAGAAUUUUCUGAAGAUUGCAAAAAAUGUGAAAAAAAACUUCACGAGUUGAAAACUCAAAGGUCGGAGGCAAAUUUGGAGAUUCUAAAAUUUUCAAACGCACGAAAGGCAUGGAGAGACAGAUCUGAAGUUUUUUUCUGAUCGAUUUUGCUAUAUGGAACGUUGAAAUCGGAGUUCGUAUGCGAAAGUUAUGGCUGUUUUACGAACAGACUCCAAAUUAGUGGACAAAACGGUCCGAAAGUGGGAAACAUUUGCGGCGGUGGCUAGAAAUUGAUGGAAACGGUGGGGAAAAACGCACGAACUGGACUCUAACAAGACCCAACCAGCAAUAAGACCUCGACCAGGACACAAACUCAACACUGUGGACUCUGAAACUGAAAUAUGCAAAGGCUAUGGCGCGGAAGGGUUGUAGGACAGGAAAACGAUAUGGCACUAGACUUAUAGGACGAACUCAAGAACACUCGAAACUAAGGGUACAUGUGAACCUAACGAUAUACCUGAAGCUUUGAUUACCACUUGAUGAGAACAAUGGUGGUCUGAUCUUCCGAAAGGUUGUGGUAACUCUCGAUCUGGUGGACACAAGACACAAAUCGAUCCGGCUUCCGAACAACAUGAUCCGAAACCUUGCAAUUUUUUUAUUUUUUUUGAUAUUUUUCUUUUACUUAGGAGCACUAAAGAAGUAACCACGAAAAAUUUGAGCUUAAACAAGUGAAAGACGUGGCUUGUGGAAUUUUCUGAAGAUUGAGAAAAAUGUGAAAAAAACUUCACAAGGUGAAAACUCAAAGGUCGGAGGCAAAUUUGGAGAUUCCAAAAAUUUCAAACCCACCAAAGGCAUGGAGAGACAGAUCCAAAGUUUUUUUCUAAUCAAUUUUGAUAUAUGGAACGUUGAAAUCGAAGUUCGGAUGUGAAAGUUAUGGCUGUUUUACGAACGGACUCCAAAUUAGAGGACAAAACGGUCCGAAAGUAGGAAAAAUUUGCGGCAAUGGCUAGAAAUUGAUGGAAACGGUGAGGAAAAACAUAUGAACUGGACUCUAACAAGACCUAACCAACAAUAAGGCCUCGACCAGGACACAACUCAACAUUGUGGACUCUGAAACUGAAAUAUGCCAAGGCUAUGGCGCAGAAGGGUUGUAGGAUAGGAAAACGAUAUGGCACUGGACUUAUGGAACGAACACAAGAACACUCGAAACUAAGGGUAGAUGUCAACCUAAUGGUAUACCUGAAGCUUUGAUUACCACUUGAUGAGAACAAGGGAGGCCCAAUCUUCUGAAAGGUUCAGGUAACUCUCGAUUUGGUGGUGACGAGACACAAAUCGAUUCGGCUUCCAAACAACACGAUCCGAAACCCUACAAUUUUUUUAUUUUUUGAUAUUUUUCUUUUACUUCGGAGCAAUAAAGAAGUAAGCACAAAAAAAUUUAUGCUUAAACAAGUGAAAGACGUGGCCUGCAGAAUUUUCUGAAGAUUGCGAAAAAUGUGAAAAAAACUUCACAAGGUGAAAACUCAAAGGUCGGAGGCAAAUAUGGAGAUUCCAAAAUUUUCAAACCCACCAAAGGCAUGGAGAGACAGAUCCAAAAUUUUUUUCUAAUCAAUUUUGAUAUAUGGAACGUUGAAAUCAAAGUUCGGAUGUGAAAGUUCUGGCUG
rnacentral:lncRNA from 1 species